ensembl:misc_RNA 7SK 7SK RNA
GGAUAUGGAGGAAACCUGCCUGCAGCAUCUGUCUCCCCACUAAUCACCAGGUUUGACUUGGAUCAUCUGGCUGGCUAAGGGACUGUCUCCUUCCUCCCUCACCACUCCAUGUGUGUCCUUCCUGAAGCAACAUGCUUGGUCAAGUAAGACAAACUACCCCAAACAAAGAAGGAUCUGUCUGAGUAACUGUAACAACUGUUAGAACGUCAAAACAAGCUCUCAAGAACUCAUAGUCUUCUGGGAGAUGGGAGGUAGCACAGUGGUUUAAGCACAUGUGGUGCAAGCAC